AAGGGCUUAGUUUAGUUAAAGCGUCUGAUUUGCAUU
rnacentral:tRNA from 1 species